CCAGCCUCAGCUCCCUGCAGCAGCAAGUGCUCUCUCUCUUGCUCCAAGACCUUUUCAUUUGUUCAGGCAAAGCCAGCCAGUUUGCACAGUUCCUCUAGAGAUGCUGUGAGGAUUUGCAAGGAUGGAAAGCGAGGAGCUGCUCACUGCUGGCCCAUCUGGCCCGUGGUCACCCCAGUGCUCCCAGCACUGAGGGGCCUCAGGCCUGCUGGUUUCCGAGGCAGGGCCCUCUGGGCUCCUUGAGGAACGGGCCCAGCUCUCCACAGACACCUGUGCCUCGUCACACGGUGCUCUGUCCCUCACACCAGGCCUGGCUGCCCCUCUUAGCAUUCCUAAACCCCCCAAAUCUUUUCAAGUGUAUUUUUACUACAGAACACAGAGCAAAGGCCGGUGUCUGCAGCCGGGCUGCCAGCAGGGACACAGGGGCACAGCGUGCGGCACUGCUGGGGGAUUUUCCCACACGGCUCUCUCUGGAUAUUUCCUUUCUGAGCUGCACAAACCAGUUGGUUCACAGGGAAGCACACUGAAAUCACAACUGAUGGGGAAACUCCCCUCCAAGUGCGCUCACACGCUGCCCGUAAUCUCACACGUCCCCUUGGCAGCCAGACAGAGACUUUUCAACGUGUCUUUCAUGCACUUAUUUACUUUAAUUAGGGACUACGUGGCCGAAUGUGAAAGCAGGAAUUAGAGUGCAAUCCCCAAAUGAGAAGUCAGCCCCCCGGGGCUCUCCCCUGUCUCUGGGGUUUAUCCCAUCCCACCCUGCCUUUGCUGGGAAGGGCUCCUGGAAGGGGUCCCAGAGGGGUCCCAGCUGUGCCCCAUCCCUGCCAGCUCCACAGCGUUUCCCACACUGUUCCUGAGGAUCCAUGGCUCCGAGGGACAGACGGAACACCCCAAGAUUGGCUGAACAAAGGGAAGCUCACUGAAGUGUGGGAUGUACUGUAGAGCUGAUCCUUUCUAGAGCCAGGAUGGUGCUGGGAGACCCUGGAGAUCUCCCAUUCUCCCAGAAACAGCAAGCCUCUGCAGGUCUUGGGCACCCCUGAGCUGGAAUUUCUGUGAAAUGAUCUUGUGGAGCCCUGAGACAGAAUCCCAGAAUUGGUAAGGUUGGAAAUGGCCUUCAAGAUCAUCAGCUCCAAUUGUCAGCUCAGCCCCAGCACGUCCUCCUUGAGGUCCUGCAGUGGAACAAAGCCCAAAUCCCAGCUCUGCUCAGCCCAGCCGUUCCUCUGGCCCUGCAGCACCUUCCCAGCAGCAAUAAAAUGUGA